rnacentral:RNase_P_RNA from 1 species
AAAGGAGUACAGGUAAUCGCUGGUGAUCUGCGCUACGCAGACACGAGAGGAAAGUCCGGGCUCCACAGGGCGAUGGUGGUCGUUAAUGGCGACCGGGGGAAACCCCAGGGAAAGUGCCACAGAAAACAGACCGCUAUCCUAUAGGGUUAGCAAGGGUGAAACGGCGAGGUAAGAGCUCACCAGUUCCCCGGGUGACCGGGGAAGCUAGGUAAACCCCACCUGGAGCAAGACCAAAAGAGGGGCUUAUGGGGCUGCCCGUCCCGCCCCUGGGUAGGUCGCUGGAGGCGGCAGGCAACUGCCGUCCUAGAUGAAUGAUUACCGAUAAGGAACCAGGGAAACCUGUUCCUUAUAACAGAACCCGGCUUACGGACUUCUUCUGAC